rnacentral:sRNA from 1 species
UUUUAGCCCGGAUUGAAGUGAAAAUCCUUUUUAUUUUUUCUUUAAAAAUAAAAAGAUUGCAACGGAAAGCGGGAAACAGC